GGGAAGGUAGCUCAAUGGUAGAGUGCUUGCCUUGCAUGCAUGAGGUCCUGGGUUCGAUUCCUCAGCACCA
rnacentral:tRNA from 1 species